rnacentral:misc_RNA from 3 species
AACGCACCUUGCGCCCCUUGGUAUUCCGAGGGGCACACCCGUUUGAGUGUCGUGAAAAUCUCAACCUUCUCGGUUUCUUCUGGACACCGAAGGAGGCUUGGACUUUGGAGGCCUUUGCUGGUGUCUCUCUCUUCUGAAACCCAGCUCCUCUUAAAUGAAUUAGCGGGGUCCUCUUUGCUGAUCCUCGACGUGUGAUAAGAUGUUUCCAUGUCUUGGUUUCUGGCUCUGUUGCUCCUGGGAUCCGCUUCUAAUCGUCUCAACCUUGCAUCGAGACAAUGUUUGAGCGUGUCUCCCUUCUCGGGAAACGCUCUCAACCCCACGAACCCUUGACCUCAAAUCGGGUGAGACUACCCGCUGAACUUAA